rnacentral:snRNA from 1 species
GAAAGAAAACUGAGCACUUUAGG